AGCGGGAUUGUGUAAAGGUAGCACAGCGGACUCUGACUCCGUAUGUGAGGGUUCGACUCCUUCUCCCGCUGCCA
rnacentral:tRNA from 1 species